AUACCUUGAAGUUACACCCCGAUUUGAGAAAGUUGAUUUCCUCCACCAUAUCCAUAAUGUUCCAGGGUGGUUUCCAUUGCCCAUCUAUGAUCUUUUGAAGCAUCAGUGAAUCUGUCUCGAGCCAAACAUUAGACAUAUUCAUUGAUUUGCACAUUCUCAUUGCCUCUACUAUUGCUUUUGCCUCAGCUUCAUUGUUAGAGCCCUCCUUAAU
rnacentral:lncRNA from 1 species